rnacentral:rRNA from 1 species
UACGAAGGGGGCUAGCGUUGCUCGGAAUCACUGGGCGUAAAGGGUGCGUAGGCGGGUCUUUAAGUCAGGGGUGAAAUCCUGGAGCUCAACUCCAGAACUGCCUUUGAUACUGAGAAGCUUGAGUCCGGGAGAGGUGAGUGGAACUGCGAGUGUAGAGGUGAAAUUCGUAGAUAUUCGCAAGAACACCAGUGGCGAAGGCGGCUCACUGGCCCGAUACUGACGCUGAGGCACGAAAGCGUGGGGAGCAACAGG